GGGGUUAUUGCUCAGUGGUAGAGCACAUGCUUGGUAUGCAUGAGGUCCUCGGUUCAAUCCCCAGUGCCUUCA
rnacentral:tRNA from 1 species